GCGCCCUCCGCACAACAGCCACCGCCACCACUGCACCCAGGUGUGGCGCUGCUCUUCCGCACGACCCUGACGGCAAGGCAGCGACAAGAGCAUCAGAGCCACUUUUGGCCUCCCCACGCUGGCCUGCGCAUCUCCGCCCCCUGCUUUGCCUCCUCCACCACCGGCUCCUAGCGAGGCGGGAACGAAGCCAACAUCGCCCUCCCAGGUAAGGCAUGAUGUAGCUAUACUUUUGAAAAUCACUCAUGAUUGUCCCGAGUCCCUGGCAAUGAAUCAUGUGGUGAUGCAAAUUUCUGCUGUCCCUGCCAUUCACACUGACGAAAGCUUGUUGGAGUGUCUUCAACCUUGUCGAUGUUCAGUGAGCGAAAAUUUGGAUUCUUCCAUUCUCGUGCAUACCACCUUGCAGAAUUGAACAGUGAUUCCCGGUCUCCACUUCAGAUCUAUUAUAUGGAUGCAGAACAUAUGCCAAGAUGUUUACAGUAUUGUGGUUGCGCCAUAGAAGUCUUUCUUGCUGUGAACCUAAUUUGGAAUCCAGUGUUUCUGUCUCUAUUUGCUUGUUCUGAAUUCGAGAGUCUUUUGAAUUUCAGAGUAUUGAUCAAUCAUUUAAAGCAGUGAUUACAUACUUAUCCAGAAAGUGGUACUCUUGUUCUGCCUUAUUUUGGAGGAACAUAAGGCAAGUUUCUAUUAAUACCCUCCAACUAAUGGCAAGAAGUUUGAUCAGUUUCAUAAACUCCCUAUAUUUCUAGCUCCAGACCAUG